UACGUAGGGUGCAGGCGUUAAUCGGAAUUACUGGGCGUAAAGCGUGCGCAGGCGGUCUAUUAAGUCAGGGGUGAAAUCCUGGAGCUCAACUCCAGAACUGCCUUUGAUACUGAGAAGCUUGAGUCCGGGAGAGGUGAGUGGAACUGCGAGUGUAGAGGUGAAAUUCGUAGAUAUUCGCAAGAACACCAGUGGCGAAGGCGGCUCACUGGCCCGGUACUGACGCUGAGGUGCGAAAGCGUGGGGAGCGAACAGG
rnacentral:rRNA from 1 species